UACGGAGGGGGCUAGCGUUGUUCGGAAUUACUGGGCGUAAAGCGCGCGUAGGCGGACCUGCAAGUCGGGGGUGAAAGCCCGAGGCUCAACCUCGGAACUGCCUUCGAUACUGCGGGUCUCGAGUCCGGGAGAGGUGAGUGGAAUUCCUAGUGUAGAGGUGAAAUUCGUAGAUAUUAGGAAGAACACCAGUGGCGAAGGCGGCUCACUGGCUCGGUACUGACGCUGAGGCGCGAAAGCGUGGGGGAGCAAACAGG
rnacentral:rRNA from 1 species